UGCUGGAGGUAUCAGAAGUGCGAAUGCUGACAUAAGUAACGAUAAAGCGGGUGAAAAGCCCGCUCGCCGGAAGACCAAGGGUUCCUGUCCAACGUUAAUCGGGGCAGGGUGAGUCGACCCCUAAGGCGAGGCCGAAAGGCGUAGUCGAUGGGAAACAGGUUAAUAUUCCUGUACUUGGUGUUACUGCGAAGGGGGGACGGAGAAGGCUAUGUUGGCCGGGCGACGGUUGUCCCGGUUUAAGCGUGUAGGCUGGUUUUCCAGGCAAAUCCGGAAAACCAAGGCUGAGGCGUGAUGACGAGGCACUACGGUGCUGAAGCAACAAAUGCCCUGCUUCCAGGAAAAGCCUCUAAGCAUCAGGUAACAUCAAAUCGUACCCCAAACCGACACAGGUGGUCAGGUAGAGAAUACCAAGGCGCUUGAGAGAACUCGGGUGAAGGAACUAGGCAAAAUGGUGCCGUAACUUCGGGAGAAGGCACGCUGAUAUGUAGGUGAAGCGACUAGCUCGUGGAGCUGAAAUCAGUCGAAGAUACCAGCUGGCUGCAACUGUUUAUUAAAAACACAGCACUGUGCAAACACGAAAGUGGACGUAUACGGUGUGACGCCUGCCCGGUGCCGGAAGGUUAAUUGAUGGGGUUAGCGGUAACGCGAAGCUCUUGAUCGAAGCCCCGGUAAACGGCGGCCGUAACUAUAACGGUCCUAAGGUAGCGAAAUUCCUUGUCGGGUAAGUUCCGACCUGCACGAAUGGCGUAAUGAUGGCCAGGCUGUCUCCACCCGAGACUCAGUGAAAUUGAACUCGCUGUGAAGAUGCAGUGUACCCGCGGCAAGACGGAAAGACCCCGUGAACCUUUACUAUAGCUUGACACUGAACAUUGAGCCUUGAUGUGUAGGAUAGGUGGGAGGCUUUGAAGUGUGGACGCCAGUCUGCAUGGAGCCGACCUUGAAAUACCACCCUUUAAUGUUUGAUGUUCUAACGUGGGCCCCUAAUCGGGGUUGCGGACAGUGUCUGGUGGGUAGUUUGACUGGGGCGGUCUCCUCCUAAAGAGUAACGGAGGAGCACGAAGGUUGGCUAAUCCUGGUCGGACAUCAGGAGGUUAGUGCAAUGGCAUAAGCCAGCUUGACUGCGAGCGUGACGGCGCGAGCAGGUGCGAAAGCAGGUCAUAGUGAUCCGGUGGUUCUGAAUGGAAGGGCCAUCGCUCAACGGAUAAAAGGUACUCCGGGGAUAACAGGCUGAUACCGCCCAAGAGUUCAUAUCGACGGCGGUGUUUGGCACCUCGAUGUCGGCUCAUCACAUCCUGGGGCUGAAGUAGGUCCCAAGGGUAUGGCUGUUCGCCAUUUAAAGUGGUACGCGAGCUGGGUUUAGAACGUCGUGAGACAGUUCGGUCCCUAUCUGCCGUGGGCGCUGGAGAACUGAGGGGGGCUGCUCCUAGUACGAGAGGACCGGAGUGGACGCAUCACUGGUGUUCGGGUUGUCAUGCCAAUGGCACUGCCCGGUAGCUAAAUGCGGAAGAGAUAAGUGCUGAAAGCAUCUAAGCACGAAACUUGCCCCGAGAUGAGUUCUCCCUGAGACUUAGAGUCUCCUGAAGGAACGUUGAAGACGACGACGUUGAUAGGCCGGGUGUGUAAGCGCAGCGAUGCGUUGAGCUAACCGGUACUAAUGAACCGUGAGGCUUAACCUU
rnacentral:rRNA from 1 species